rnacentral:rRNA from 1 species
CCUACGGGAGGCAGCAGUGAGGAAUAUUGGUCAAUGGGCGAUAGCCUGAACCAGCCAAGUCGCGUGAGGGAUGACUGCCCUAUGGGUUGUAAACUUCUUUUAUAGGGGAGUAAAGUGCGGUAUGUAUACUGCUUUGCAUGUACCUUAUGAAUAAGGAUCGGCUAACUCCGUGCCAGCAGCCGCGGUAAUACGGAGGAUCCGAGCGUUAUCCGGAUUUAUUGGGUUUAAAGGGAGCGUAGGCGGGUGGUUAAGUCAGUUGUGAAAGUUGGCGGCUCAACCGUAAAAUUGCAGUUGAUACUGGAAUCCUUGAGUGCAGUAGAGGUAGGCGGAAUGCGUGGUGUAGCGGUGAAAUGCUUAGAUAUCACGAAGAACUCCGAUUGCGAAGGCAGCCUGCUGGACUGCAACUGACGCUGAUGCUCGAAAGCGUGGGUAUCAAACAGGAUUAGAUACCCGAGUAGUC